UUAAACGCGAUGACGAGAAGAGUAAGGGAACAUGUUCUUGUACAGAGAGCUCCGGCAGUUGAAAAGGAGUCAAGAGUUUUUCCCUGAAGCAAGCCUCAGAGCAGGAUGUCGGAACCGUAGGCGGGGAUGGCAUAACGGGAGCUCCCGUUACAGAGCUAGAGUAUAAGCAUGGACUGCUAUGCCGUACUUGAAAAGGUUAAUAUGGCGACAUAUUAAUGAAUCUGGGGUGGCACCACGAAAAUUUCGUCCCCAAG
rnacentral:ncRNA from 1 species